GGACCCGCACAAGCGGUGGAGCAUGUGGUUUAAUUCGAUGAUACGCGAGGAACCUUACCAGGGCUUAAAUGUAAGUUGCAUAGAUCAGAGAUGGUCUUUUCUUCGGACUACUUACAAGGUGCUGCAUGGUUGUCGUCAGCUCGUGCCGUGAGGUGUCAGGUUAAGUCCUAUAACGAGCGCAACCCCUGUCGUUAGUUACCAGCAAGUAAUGUUGGGUACUCUAGCGAGACUGCCGGUGCAAACCGUGAGGAAGGUGGGGAUGACGUCAAAUCAUCACGGCCCUUACGUCCUGGGCUACACACGUGCUACAAUGGCCGGUACAGAGAGCAGCCACUACGCGAGUAGGAGCGAAUCUAUAAAACCGGUCUCAGUUCGGAUUGUCGUCUGCAACUCGACGGCAUGAAGUCGGAAUCGCUAGUAAUCG
rnacentral:rRNA from 1 species